AGUGAACGCUGGCGGUAGGCCUAACACAUGCAAGUCGAACGGCAGCACAGUAAGAGCUUGCUCUUACGGGUGGCGAGUGGCGGACGGGUGAGGCAUACAUCGGAAUCUACUUUUUCGUGGGGGAUAACGUAGGGAAACUUACGCUAAUACCUCAUACGACCUACGGGUGAAAGCAGGGGAUCUUCGGACCUUGCGCGCUUGAAUGAGCCGAUGUCGGAUUAGCUAGUUGGCGGGGUAACGGCCCACCAAGGCGACGAUGCGUAGCUGGUCUGGCAGGAUGGUCGGCCCCACUGGUACUGAGACACGGUCCAGAAUUCCAAGGGGGGGAGCAGUAGGGGAGCUUCGGAAAUGGGGGGAAGCCUUGAGGCGCCAAGCCGCGGGGGGGAAAAAGGGCUUCGGGGUGUAAAACCCUGUUUUUGGGGAAGAAAAAAUGUGAGAGUAACUACCCGCGUCUUGACGGUACCUAAAAAGAAAGCCACGGCUAAACACGUG
rnacentral:rRNA from 1 species